rnacentral:rRNA from 1 species
GAUGUUGGGUUAAGUCCCGCAACGAGCGCAACCUUGUCUUAUGUUGCCAGCACGUAAUGGUGGGGACUCGUAAGAGACUGCCGGGGUCAACUCGGAGGAAGGUGGGGACGACGUCAAGUCAUCAUGCCCCUUAUGUCCAGGGCUUCACACAUGCUACAAUGGCCAGUACAGAGGGCUGCGAGACCGUGAGGUGGAGCGAAUCCCUUAAAGCUGGUCUCAGUUCGGAUCGGGGUCUGCAACUCGACCCCGUGAAGUCGGAGUCGCUAGUAAUCGCAGAUCAGCAACGCUGCGGUGAAUACGUUCCCGGGCCUU